CGGCGGACGGGUGAGUAACGCGUGGGUAACCUGCCUCAUACAGGGGGAUAACAGUUAGAAAUGACUGCUAAUACCGCAUAAGACCACAGGGCCGCAUGGUCCGGUGGUAAAAACUCCGGUGGUAUGAGAUGGACCCGCGUCUGAUUAGCUGGUUGGUGGGGUAACGGCCUACCAAGGCGACGAUCAGUAGCCGACCUGAGAGGGUGACCGGCCACAUUGGGACUGAGACACGGCCCAAACUCCUACGGGAGGCAGCAG
rnacentral:rRNA from 1 species